rnacentral:rRNA from 1 species
UACGGGGGGGGCAAGCGUUGUUCGGAAUUACUGGGCGUAAAGGGCUCGUAGGCGGCCAACUAAGUCAGACGUGAAAUCCCUCGGCUUAACCGGGGAACUGCGUCUGAUACUGGAUGGCUUGAGGUUGGGAGAGGGAUGCGGAAUUCCUGGUGUAGCGGUGAAAUGCGCAGAUAUCAGGAAGAACACCCGUGGCGAAAGCGGCUCUCUGGAACGGUACUGACGCUGAGACGCGAAAGCGUGGGGAGCGAACAGG